GGCGAGUGAAGCGGCAAAAGCUCAAAUUUGAAAUCCUUCGGGAGUUGUAAUUUGUAGGUUGGGAGACCCCGCGGCUAGUGGCACCAAGUCCCUUGGAACAGGGCGCCUUAGAGGGUGAGAGCCCCGUAGGUACCACAACACCGUCUUGUGUCUCCUCUCCAAAGAGUCGAGUUGUUUGGGAAUGCAGCUCAAAGUGGGUGGUAAAUUCCAUCUAAAGCUAAAUACCGGCGAGAGACCGAUAGCGAACAAGUACAGUGAUGGAAAGAUGAAAAGCACUUUGAAAAGAGAGUGAAACAGUACGUGAAAUUGUUGAAAGGGAAGGGCUUGCAAGCAGACACGGCCUUCGUGCCGGGCCAGCAUCGGUUGCUAGGGGUGGAUAAGGAACAAGGAAUGUAGCUCCUCGGAGUAUUAUAGCCUUGCGCGAUACACCCACUGGCGACCGAGGCCUGCGGUAUUCUUUACCUAGGAUGCUGGCGUAAUGGUUGCAAGCCGCCCGUCUUGAAACACGGACCA
rnacentral:rRNA from 1 species